rnacentral:tRNA from 1 species
AUGUAGAGCCUCUGGCAGAGUGCUGACGGACGCGGGUUCGACUCCCGCCAUCUCCACCA